rnacentral:rRNA from 1 species
GACGAACGCUGGCGGCGUGCUUAACACAUGCAAGUCGAACGGAAAGGCCCUGCUUUUGUGGGGUGCUCGAGUGGCGAACGGGUGAGUAACACGUGAGUAACCUGCCCUUGACUUUGGGAUAACUUCAGGAAACUGGGGCUAAUACCGGAUAGGAGCUCCUGCUGCAUGGUGGGGGUUGGAAAGUUUCGGCGGUUGGGGAUGGACUCGCGGCUUAUCAGCUUGUUGGUGGGGUAGUGGCUUACCAAGGCUUUGACGGGUAGCCGGCCUGAGAGGGUGACCGGCACCAGUGGGACUGGGGAGGGGCCCAGGCGCAUUAGGGGGGGAGGGGGGGGAAAUUUUGCAAAAGGGGCGGAAGCCUGAGGGAGGAACCCCGGGUGGGGGAGGCCGGCCUUGGGGUUGAAAAACGCUUUCGCUUGUGACGAAGGGUUGGGGCGGGUAAUGGGGAAAAAAGAACCGGUAAACUAGUG